GACGAACGCUGGCGGCGUGCUUAACACAUGCAAGUCGAACGGAAAGGCCCUGCUUUUGUGGGGUGCUCGAGUGGCGAACGGGUGAGUAACACGUGAGUAACCUGCCCUUGACUUUGGGAUAACUUCAGGAAACUGGGGCUAAUACCGGAUAGGAGCUCCUGCUGCAUGGUGGGGGUUGGAAAGUUUCGGCGGUUGGGGAUGGACUCGCGGCUUAUCAGCUUGUUGGUGGGGUAGUGGCUUACCAAGGCUUUGACGGGUAGCCGGCCUGAGAGGGUGACCGGCCACAUUGGGACUGAGGUACGGCCCAGACUCCUACGGGAGGCAGCAGUGGGGAAUAUUGCCCAAUGGGCGGAAGCCUGAUGCAGCAACGCCGCGUGCGGGAUGACGGCCUUCGGGUUGUAAACCGCUUUCGCCUGUGACGAAGCGUGAGUGACGGUAAUGGGUAAAGAAGCACCGGCUAACUACGUG
rnacentral:rRNA from 1 species